CAUCAGUGUUGCCCAAAAUAAGC
rnacentral:siRNA from 1 species